rnacentral:rRNA from 1 species
UAAACCGGAGGAAGGUGGGGACGACGUCAAGUCAUCAUGGCCCUUACGAGUAGGGCUACACACGUGCUACAAUGGCGCAUACAGAGGGCGGCCAACUUGCGAAAGUGAGCGAAUCCCAAAAAGUGCGUCGUAGUCCGGAUUGGAGUCUGCAACUCGACUCCAUGAAGUCGGAAUCGCUAGUAAUCGUGGAUCAGAAUGCCACGGUGAAUACGUUCCC